rnacentral:rRNA from 1 species
AGAGUUUGAUCCUGGCUCAGGACGAACGCUGGCGGCGUGCCUAAUACAUGCAAGUCGAGCGAAUCGACGGGAGCUUGCUCCCUGAGAUUAGCGGCGGACGGGUGAGUAACACGUGGGCAACCUGCCUAUAAGACUGGGAUAACUUCGGGAAACCGGAGCUAAUACCGGAUACGUUCUUUUCUCGCAUGAGAGAAGAUGGAAAGACGGUUUACGCUGUCACUUAUAGAUGGGCCCGCGGCGCAUUAGCUAGUUGGUGAGGUAAUGGCUCACCAAGGCGACGAUGCGUAGCCGACCUGAGAGGGUGAUCGGCCACACUGGGACUGAGACACGGCCCAGACUCCUACGGGAGGCAGCAGUAGGGAAUCUUCCGCAAUGGACGAAAGUCUGACGGAGCAACGCCGCGUGAACGAAGAAGGCCUUCGGGUCGUAAAGUUCUGUUGUUAGGGAAGAACAAGUACCAGAGUAACUGCUGGUACCUGACGGUACCUAA